rnacentral:rRNA from 1 species
AUUGAACGCUGGCGGCAGGCCUAACACAUGCAAGUCGAGCGGAUGACGGGAGCUUGCUCCUUGAUUCAGCGGCGGACGGGUGAGUAAUGCCUAGGAAUCUGCCUGGUAGUGGGGGACAACGUUUCGAAAGGAACGCUAAUACCGCAUACGUCCUACGGGAGAAAGCAGGGGACCUUCGGGCCUUGCGCUAUCAGAUGAGCCUAGGUCGGAUUAGCUAGUUGGUGGGGUAAUGGCUCACCAAGGCGACGAUCCGUAACUGGUCUGAGAGGAUGAUCAGUCACACUGGAACUGAGACACGGUCCAGACUCCCACGGGAGGCAGCAGUGGGGAAUAUUGGACAAUGGGCGAAAGCCUGAUCCAGCCAUGCCGCGUGUGUGAAGAAGGUCUUCGGAUUGUAAAGCACUUUAAGUUGGGAGGAAGGGCAGUAAGUUAAUACCUUGCUGUUUUGACGUUACCGGCAGAAUAAGCACCGGCUAACUCUGUGCCAGCCGCCGCCGUAA